UGGGGAAUAUUGGACAAUGGGCGAAAGCCUGAUCCAGCCAUGCCGCGUGUGUGAAGAAGGCUUUCGGGUUGUAAAGCACUUUCAGUGGGGAAGAAAUCCUCGGGGCCAAUACCCUCGAGGGAGGACAUCACCCACAGAAGAAGCACCGGCUAACUCCGUGCCAGCAGCCGCGGUAAUACGGAGGGUGCGAGCGUUAAUCGGAAUUACUGGGCGUAAAGCGCGCGUAGGCGGCGUGAUAAGCCGGUUGUGAAAGCCCCGGGCUCAACCUGGGAACGGCAUCCGGAACUGUCAGGCUAGAGUGCAGGAGAGGAAGGUAGAAUUCCCGGUGUAGCGGUGAAAUGCGUAGAGAUCGGGAGGAAUACCAGUGGCGAAGGCGGCCUUCUGGACUGACACUGACGCUGAGGUGCGAAAGCGUGGGUAGCAAACAG
rnacentral:rRNA from 1 species